GACGAACGCUGGCGGCGUGCUUAACACAUGCAAGUCGAACGGUGAACCAGGGCUUGCCCUGGGGAUCAGUGGCGAACGGGUGAGUAACACGUGGGCAACCUGCCCCUCGCUCUGGGAUAACCCCGGGAAACCGGGGCUAAUACCGGAUACGACCCGCGCGGACAUCCGCGCGGGUGGAAAGUUCUUCGGCGAGGGAUGGGCCCGCGGCCUAUCAGCUAGUUGGUGGGGUAACGGCCUACCAAGGCGACGACGGGUAGCCGGCCUGAGAGGGCGACCGGCCACACUGGGACUGAGACACGGCCCAGACUCCUACGGGAGGCAGCAGUGGGGAAUAUUGCGCAAUGGGCGAAAGCCUGACGCAGCGACGCCGCGUGAGGGACGACGGCCUUCGGGUUGUAAACCUCUUUCAGCAGGGAAGAAGCGAAAGUGACGGUACCUGCAGAAGAAGCACCGGCUAACUACGUG
rnacentral:rRNA from 1 species